AGCCCUGAGGGAGGAGAACCAAGCCCUGAGGGAGGAGAACCAAGCCCUGAGGGAGGAGAACCAUGCCCUGAGGGAGUGGAGCCAUGCACGAGCAGCUUCGGGUGACAGCGGCUCCCUUCAAGAGCAGGUGAAGCUAUUUGGGACAACGCUGAAGAUGUUUGCUCGCACUGGGCAAUCAGGUGCAGAUCAGACCCUAGUGCUGCGACGUCUUGGAGAGUUUGGCGAUGUUGUGCGUAGCAUGGAAAACAAAAUGGACACUAUGCUGCAACAUUUCAGUGCCAAUGUGUCUGUUGGAGAGCUAUCCCUGCCAGGGGAUGUUACUCCACCUAGACACCCAGGAAGAUUUGGUGUUUCUUGACAGCAUUUUGAGGGAGGAUAAAGAGCUCCAGGAACGAUUUGGGCCCUCCGGAAGAACCCGGCAACCCAGGAUGCCACUGAUGAGGCGGUCCAGGUUAACGUUACACGUUACCUGAAAGGAGCAUCAGACUGUGAAGGAGGAAAAAGCCGCC